CCGGUGGCCUAACCCUUUGGGGAAGGUCCGCCUCAGGUGUGAUACGGGAUUGGGACGAAUUCAGAGCGGGGGGGAAGAUAGAAAUUCCUGGUGUAGCGGUGGAAUGCGCAGAUAUCAGGAGGAACACCGAUGGCGAAGGCAGAUCUCUGGGCCGUAACUGACGCUGAGGAGCGAAAGCGUGGGGAGCGAACAGGAUUAGAUACCCUGGUAGUCCACGCCGUAAACGUUGGGCGCUAGAUGUAGGGACCUUUCCACGGUUUCUGUGUCGUAGCUAACGCAUUAAGCGCCCCGCCUGGGGAGUACGGCCGCAAGGCUAAAACUCAAAGGAAUUGACGGGGGCCCGCACAAGCGGCGGAGCAUGCGGAUUAAUUCGAUGCAACGCGAAGAACCUUACCAAGGCUUGACAUACACCGGAAACGGCCAGAAAUGGUCGCCCCCUUGUGGUCGGCGUACAGGUGGUGCAUGGUUGUCGUCAGCUCGUGUCGUGAGAUGAUGGGUUAAGUCCCGCAACGAGCGCAACCCUCGUUCUAUGUUGCCAGCGCGUUAUGGCGGGGACUCAUAGGAGACUGCCGGGGUCAACUCCGAGGAAGGUGGGGGAUGACGUCAAAUCAUCAUGCCCCUUAUGUCUUGGGCUUCACGCAUGCUACAAUGGCCGGUACAAAGGGCUGCGAUACUGUAAGGUGGAGCAAAUCCCAAAAAGCCGGUCUCAUUUCGGAUUGAGGGUCUGCAACUCGACCUCAUGAAGUCGGAGUCGCUAGUAAUCGCAGAUCACCAACGCUGCGGUGAAAUAC
rnacentral:rRNA from 2 species